rnacentral:hammerhead_ribozyme from 1 species
AUCCAGUUGACGUGUCCCGAAUGGGGCGAAACGUACGUCCUGAAU